rnacentral:lncRNA from 1 species
UUGCUCAUGUUAGUACAACCCCGGUAACAAGUCUUAUUCGGUAAGUCACGUUAGUGAAAAGGUGACAGGAUUGUAGUUACGACAUUAAGAACAUAUCUGUUAUCUACGAAUAUUCCAUAACGGUCACCCGACUCAUGAUGGUGUCGGUAAAAUUUACAAAGGGAUGAUUUCAGCUUCACCAUUUGGAAAUUAUAGUUUAAUAGCUUCCUUGUGACCAGC